rnacentral:ncRNA from 14 species
AGCUAAAAUUGAGCGGUUGGUGCUCGCGCGGCGGUUCACAUCGCGCAGUUCAACGGGAAGCAGGAGGGGGCGGCUUGAACGAGCUCAACCUAAGCUGCGCUGCCCCCGCAACGGUAAGUGGACGAACCUUUUCGGUUCUACUGCCAUCAAGGCCACUGGAUGUCGUGACAGACAUUUGGGAAGGUGAUGGCGGUUGACUCCACCAGCCCGGAUACCGGCCAACACGGUGGCUGCAGAC